UACGGGGGGGGCAAGCGUUGUUCGGAAUUACUGGGCGUAAAGGGCUCGUAGGCGGCCAACUAAGUCGGAUGUGAAAUCCCCAGGCUCAACCUGGGAACUGCAUCCGAUACUGGAUGGCUUGAAUUCGGGAGAGGGAUGCAGAAUUCCAGGUGUAGCGGUGAGAUGCGUAGAUAUCUGGAGGAACACCGGUGGCGAAGGCGGCAUCCUGGACCAACACUGACACUGAGGAGCGAAAGCCAGGGGAGCAAACGGG
rnacentral:rRNA from 1 species